UAUUUAUUUUUUCUUAUUGACACAUUUAUUUAGUUCAGAGGAAUACCAGUCAUUUACAAACACAACUGAUGGCAAUGUUCGCAUGGAUUAGAAAGAAAAAAUAGUGAUGCCAAAAUAUAAUUUGAUCACACCGCAUUACAAUGUUGUGGUUUGCCAAAGAACUGAGCAAUGGUUCACAUGGAUUGCUGAAAAUAUUAGUAACAGAAUGACAAGUGCAUCAUAAGAACUAAAUAAUCUGGAACUUAUAUAUAUAUAUUUUAAAUUAUGCAUUCAUUGCUGAAAAUAUUGUUUGAUGUAUGCAUCACCUCUCUUCCAUUUAACUAGAUUGCUAUAUCUUAUACUAGGAUGUCGAUGCCGAUGCUUCUCUGGCUGCUACUGAGGAUGGCAGUGAUCCUUUCACCCACCUAAAAUCAAAGACGGGUUGUUCUUCCCAUCGCUUGUUUAUUUAUGCUAUGAAGUAAACAGGUACAAUGAUCCUCUUUCGCUAAACAUGGGUGUCUGGAACUUAAGGAACAAUAGUGGUGGGAAAGCAGCUGGAGGAAACAAGAAAGCGCAGUAACUACUUUCCUAUGGUACUUGUUGCGUGCUUGUUGCUGAUUGCACACCCUAUGGUGCUUGAUGCCGAUUGCAAUGGCAACGCUUCAUCUCCGCAGGCGAUCCAAGCUGUGCUCGUCAUCUACACUAGUGUUAAAACUAUAUUCAGGCGUGACUAUAUGCAUGCCAUUUGUGUAAUAGAAUAUUUAUAGCAAAUAUCCACUAUAAUUUAUUCUUUCGUGUAGGCACAUGCCUUUUCUCUCUUUAACACAGUACAUUAGUUAAGAAUUUUCAA